rnacentral:rRNA from 1 species
AUUGAACGCUGGCGGCAGGCCUAACACAUGCAAGUCGAGCGGAUGAAGGGAGCUUGCUCCUGGAUUCAGCGGCGGACGGGUGAGUAAUGCCUAGGAAUCUGCCUGGUAGUGGGGGAUAACGUCCGGAAACGGGCGCUAAUACCGCAUACGUCCUGAGGGAGAAAGUGGGGGAUCUUCGGACCUCACGCUAUCAGAUGAGCUUAGGUCGGAUUAGCUAGUUGGUGGGGUAAAGGCCUACCAAGGCGACGAUCCGUAACUGGUCUGAGAGGAUGAUCAGUCACACUGGAACGUGGACACGGUCCAGACUCCUACGGGAGGCAGCAGUGGGGAAUAUUGGACAAUGGGCGAAAGCCUGAUCCAGCCAUGCCGCGUGUGUGAAGAAGGUCUUCGGAUUGUAAAGCACGUUAAGUUGGGAGGAAGGGCAGUAAGUUAAUACCUUGCUGUUUUGACGUUACCAACAGAAUAAGCACCGGCUAACUUCGUG